GACGAACGCUGGCGGCGUGCUUAACACAUGCAAGUCGAACGGUAAGGCCCUUCGGGGUACACGAGUGGCGAACGGGUGAGUAACGCGUGAGUAACCUGCCCUUCACUCUGGGAUAACAGUUGGAAACGGCUGCUAAUACCGGAUAUUCAGCUCCUGUCGCAUGGUGGGGGUUGGAAAGUUUUGGUGGUGGGGGAUGGGCUCGCGUCCUAUCAGCUUGUUGGUGGGGUGAUGGCCUACCAAGGCGUCGACGGGUAGCCGGCCUGAGAGGGCGACCGGCCACAUUGGGACUGAGAUACGGCCCAAACUCCUACGGGAGGCAGCAGUGGGGAAUAUUGCACAAUGGGCGGAAGCCUGAUGCAGCAACGCCGCGUGCGGGAUGACGGCCUUCGGGUUGUAAACCGCUUUCAGCAGGGACGAAGCGCAAGUGACGGUACCUGCAGAAGAAGCACCGGCUAACUACGUG
rnacentral:rRNA from 1 species